GCAAAAUUGCAGGUGAUGAUGAAUUUUCUGCUACAUGCCAGGCCAUGGAAGGACUUCAAAUUGCUAACGGUUUGGAGUGCAAGAUAACUUGCAAUUCAUCCAAGGUCUCAUAUGUUUUGGAUACCGAAGAUUUCUUGUUUCGAACAAGAAGGAAAAGUAGAAGUUUCCCUCAGAACAGCCCAUGCCACAACCAGGCAAAGGCUUCAAAUGGUUAUCCAAUUAGAAGACUACAACGGUUUCAAAGAUGGCUUUCUGGAUCGUAAUAUGCUUUGUUGUGACCCUGUAGUAGAUAUGAUAUUCUUGUACUUCAAAUGUCUUGACCACACAUUAUAUACACUGGUGCUGGAAUUGGAAAGGUCAACAGCGCCGCGAGUGGAAAAGCUUUUGCAGGAUUCAUCUUUCAUGUACUCUGAUAUUUCUGUCUCACCAACUCAAUAAAGAAUCUGAGGAAGGGGGAUAUGGCUCGGAGGAUUGUAGUAUAAUGCAAGUUUGUGGCAUUUUGAGCCAUCAUCAUGUAUAUAGAGAGGUAAUAUGUGAUGUAAAACCUGAGAUAUAUGUCCAUUCCAUUCAUCUAUAUUUUUUAUUUCUCUUCUAAUGUUUCUC